rnacentral:rRNA from 1 species
UCGGGUUUUCCGGAUUAUUGGGCGUAAGCGCUCGCAGGCGGUCUUUUAAGUCUGAUGUGAAAGCCCACGGCUCAACCGUGGAGGGUCAUUGGAAACUGGGAGACUUGAGUGCAGAAGAGGAGAGUGGAAUUCCACGUGUAGCGGUGAAAUGCGUAGAGAUGUGGAGGAACACCAGUGGCGAAGGCGACUCUCUGGUCUGUAACUGACGCUGAGGAGCGAAAGCGUGGGGAGCGAACAGGAUUAGAUACCCUGGUAGUCCACGCCGUAAACGAUGAGUGCUAAGUGUUAGAGGGUUUCCGCCCUUUAGUGCUGCAGCAAACGCAUUAAGCACUCCGCCUGGGGAAUACGGUCGCAAGACUGAAACUCAAAGGAAUUGACGGGGGCCCGCACAAGCGGUGGAGCAUGUGGUUUAAUUCGAAGCAACGCGAAGAACCUUACCAGGUCUUGACAUCCUUAUGCCUUCCCUAGAGAUAGGGCUUUCCCUUCGGGGACAUAAGUGACAGGUGGUGCAUGGUUGUCGUCAGCUCGUGUCGUGAGAUGUUGGGUUAAGUCCCGCAACGAGCGCAACCCUUGACCUUAGUUGCCAGCAUUCAGUUGGGCACUCUAACGUGACUGCCGGUGACAACCGGAGGAAGGUGGGGGAUGACGUCAAAUCAUCAUGCCCCUUAUGACCCUGGGGCUACACACGGUGCUAACAAUG